rnacentral:rRNA from 1 species
GGGUCAGUAGGUUGGUCGUGCCACCGGUACGUACUGGUCUCACUGAUUCCUCCUUCCUGAAGAACCGUAAUGCCAUUAAUUUGGUGUAGCGGGGAAACAGGACUGUUACUUUGAAAAAAUUAGAGUGUUUAAAGCAAGCUAACGCUUGAAUCCAUUAGCAUGGAAUAAUGAAAUAGGACGAUCGAUCCUAUUUUGUUGGUUUCUAGGAUUGACGUA